rnacentral:rRNA from 1 species
GAUGAACGCUGGCGGCGUGCCUAAUACAUGCAAGUCGAGCGAACAGAUGAGGAGCUUGCUCCUCUGACGUUAGCGGCGGACGGGUGAGUAACACGUGGAUAACCUACCUAUAAGACUGGGAUAACUUCGGGAAACCGGAGCUAAUACCGGAUAAUAUAUUGAACCGCAUGGUUCAAUAGUGAAAGACGGUUUUGCUGUCACUUAUAGAUGGAUCCGCGCCGCAUUAGCUAGUUGGUAAGGUAACGGCUUACCAAGGCGACGAUGCGUAGCCGACCUGAGAGGGUGAUCGGCCACACUGGAACUGGGACACGGUCCAGACUCCUACGGGAGGCAGCAGUAGGGAAUCUUCCGCAAUGGGCGAAAGCUUGACGGAGCAACGCCGCGUGAGUGAUGAAGGUCUUCGGAUCGUAAAACUCUGUUAUUAGGGAAGAACAAAUGUGUAAGUAACUAUGCACGUCUUGACGGUACCUAAUCAGAAAGCCACGGCUAACUACGUG